UUAAAAAGCUCGUAGUUGGAUUUCUGGGAGGGUGCCAAUGUCCGUCAACGUGCGUGUGCAGCGGCGCCCUUCCAUCCUUCUGUUAACGCCUCUGGGCAUUUAUUUGCUGGUGGCGGGCUCAGAUAUUUUACCUUGGAGAAAAUUAGAGUGUUUCAGG
rnacentral:rRNA from 1 species